GUACACAGAAGAAGAAGAAAAGGUGGAGAAAUUGAUAGAACUAUCUAAACAGCCUGAUAUCUAUGAAAGGCUGACCAGGUCCUUGGCACCAAACAUAUGGGAGUUGGAUGAUGUUAAGAAAGGCCUUCUUUGCCAGCUCUUUGGUGGAAAUGCAUUGACCUUGCCGUCUGGAGCAAGCUUCCGUGGUGAUAUCAACAUUCUUCUUGUUGGUGAUCCGGGGACCAGCAAAUCACAACUGCUCCAGUAUAUUCACAAACUGUCUCCUCGUGGUAUAUACACAAGUGGACGAGGAAGUUCAGCUGUGGGGUUGACUGCUU
rnacentral:misc_RNA from 1 species